rnacentral:rRNA from 1 species
GGGGAAUAUUGGACAAUGGGCGCAAGCCUGAUCCAGCCAUGCCGCGUGAGUGAUGAAGGCCCUAGGGUUGUAAAGCUCUUUCACCGGUGAAGAUAAUGACGGUAACCGGAGAAGAAGCCCCGGCUAACUUCGUGCCAGCAGCCGCGGUAAUACGAAGGGGGCUAGCGUUGUUCGGAAUUACUGGGCGUAAAGCGCACGUAGGCGGAUCGGUCAGUUAGGGGUGAAAUCCCAGGGCUCAACCCUGGAACUGCCUUUAAUACUGCCGGUCUGGAGUUCGAGAGAGGUGAGUGGAAUUCCGAGUGUAGAGGUGAAAUUCGUAGAUAUUCGGAGGAACACCAGUGGCGAAGGCGGCUCACUGGCUCGAUACUGACGCUGAGGUGCGAAAGCGUGGGGAGCAAAC